AGAAGACUUCAAGCACUGAAGAUCUCAAGAAUGAAGAACUUUUAUUAGGGUAUUUUUGUAAAACUCUUGUAUGGUUAAAUUCUUGAGACUCUAAAAUGACCUUAAUAUCCUUCAUGCAUUUUAAGAAUACAAAAAUGCAUUAAAAUUUAAAGUUCUUAAAAAUGUGCUAGCAAUAAUUCUUAUCUUUGAAAAUUUAAUUACAAUUUUAAAAAAUGGGCUAGUAAUAAUUUUUGAUUUUGAAAAUUUGAUUUCA
rnacentral:lncRNA from 1 species